rnacentral:rRNA from 1 species
AGAGUUUGAUCCUGGCUCAGGAUGAACGCUGGCGGCGUGCUUAACACAUUCAAGUCGAACGGAGUUCAAUUGGGAGCUUGCUCCCGGCUGAACUUAGUGGCGGACGGGUGAGUAAUGCAUGAGCAACCUGCCUUCAGGAGGGGGGAUAACAUCGGGAAACCGGUGCUAAUACCGCAUAGAGCAUUUUGCAGGCAUCUGCGAGAUGGGAAAGGAGCAAUCCGCCUGGAGAUGGGCUCA